GUCCACGCCCUAAACGAUGGAUACUAGGCGUAAGGGGUAUCGACCCCCUUGUGCCGCAGCUAACGCAUUAAGUAUCCCGCCUGGGGAGUACGGCCGCAAGGUUGAAACUCAAAUGAAUUGACGGGGACCCGCACAAGCGGUGGAGCAUGUGGAUUAAUUCGAUAAUAACCGAAGAACCUUACCCAGACUUGACAUCGAUUGAAAUCCCUAGAAAUAGGGCCCUCUCCCACAAGGAGACAUGAAGACACUUGUUGCAUGGCUGUCGU
rnacentral:rRNA from 1 species